CACUUCAUGGGUCCCGUAGUGAC
rnacentral:miRNA from 1 species